rnacentral:lncRNA from 1 species
AAGAGGCGAGGAGGAAGCAAGAAGAAAUUAGAAGACAGAAAGAAAGGGAAAGGGAAGAAAAGAAGGCAGAGAAGGGAAAAGAAAGAAGAACUGAAGAGGCAGAGAGUGAGGAAGAGGCAGCUAGAAGACAACAAGAGAAGAGGGAAAGGAAACGAGAAGAAAGGGAGCAAGAAGAAGAAUCAGAGGGGGAGGGUGAAGCUAAGACCGAGGAGGAAGAAGAAGAGACCGAGAGCGAAGGAGGAAGGAGACAAAGAAGAAGAAGCAGAGAAGAAGAAACAACAGAAUGGGAAGAAGAAGUAGCCAAAAGACAGCAAGAAGAAAGGGAGAGGAGAAGAGAGCAUGGCAGUGAUAACAAAUCCAUGAAAGGAAAAAGCAAUGAAAGCAGCUUUGAUGGAAGGAGAGUUCUGAAGAUUCCGAGGAAUGUGUGAUUGUGUCUAAACUCUUAACUAUCAAGAGGGUUCACUACUUAUAUGUAAAUGAUGUGUAUUAAAAUAAGAACUUUUUUAUGCACAUCUGUUUCCCUGUUUCUGUUUCUGUGUGUUUUAAAAUUUGAAGGUCUAUGUUUCAUGAAGCUUGCCCGGCAUUCAUGUCUAGUGUUAAUUAGAAUAAGAGCUAUUGUUAGGUACUCAUGUGUAUUACAAUAAAAACCUUCAGUCUUCAAUCUAUUGUUAUGUUUUGCAAUAUCUGUUUUCUACUAGCUUGUUACAAAGUUGAAGGUAUUUCUUUCAUGAAGCUUAUUGGAUGGUAUAAAUUUGUUUUUGUUACAACAAUGUGCUAAAGAAAUAAUACGAUAGAUAUAGAUUAAGACAAUGAGAGGGUGAACGUAUAUACUUCCUUUUUAUAUGUAGUUCAUCAUAUAGUUCAUCAUAAAGCUAGUGUUUCUAAUUUUUUUGUUUAUAUAUUGUUGAGACACACCAUACUAUGCUAUACCUUGGAUUGUUGAGGAUAAAUAACUAGUUGAAAAAUCAAACUUCAUUAAAAUAAAAAAAUAAGAGUGUAUAACUAACAAUAAAGACCAAAAACACACAUGAUAAUGCUGAUGUGAUAAUCUAUUUUCACAUCAAACAUUUAACAGAGCAAAAUUAACAAUAAAUGUUAAAAUAAUGAAGGUGUUUUUUUAUAAAAUAAUAGGUACCCUUUUAGGACUUGAAAUCAAAAGUAUUGUUAACAAAGAUUGGCAACGGCUUUCUAACUUGCCUCCGCGGUAUUCUCAAAUUUCGUUUCAGACCAAUAUAAGUGUGAGGGGAUAAUAACAGACUUUACUUCUUCACGUUCAAUUUCAGAAUAAUGUUUUACAAAUGACAAUAAAACUGAGUAUUUAUUUUGUUUCUUUGGAGGGAUAUUGUAUAAUGUAAAUAAAGAAACCGUAAUAACCUUUUUGUAAGGAUAAAAAAAUGUAUUCAUCAACGUAGCUUAACAACUAAUGUUUGAGAUAAGUACUAGAAAAAGUAAGAGUGGAUUCAAAUUAAAAAAUGCAAGGAGUCUUAACCCCACAGCAGCCAAAUAUACACAAAAUGAGUCAAAAUGAAAUUGACAAAAUCGUCACUCACUGAUUGAGCUGGAUAUGUAUGACACAACAACUGUUAUGUCAUCAAGUUUUCCUCCAUAAUAUCGGUAUCCAGCCUCGAGAGCAGCAGCUGAAAACGGUGACGGCCGUUUCUUGUCCAGUGCUCGCUGACGAGCCAAUGCCGCUAUCUUCUGAGCAGUUGUCUGGGGUUCUAAUCUAGCUCUAGUUGCAUUUACAACCACUGCAGUGAUAUCAUUGUUGUACAAGUUGUCAAAUAAUCCAUCUGUUCCAGCCACAAUCACAUCUCCUGGUGCAACAGGUAUUGUAAAAACCUGUACACAUUAUUGCAAAAUAUGUGCUUAGUUUGUUUUUAACAUCUCACAAAGUCAGAAAUUAAUAAACUUGUUUAAAAGAAAAAAAAAACAAUUAACUUCCAUCCUCCAUUAAUUUUAAUGAGUGAGCUUUACCUCGCCGGAGCUCGGUAGAUCACCGCCAUUACCACUCUCCAACUGAUAUGUGAAAUUAAAAUCGUGCUGUUGAACAGGGGACUUGAAAAUGAUGCUUCCACCUCUAAUCACAAUGAAUCCACUGUCCCCCAAAUUAAUAGCAUUUAGUGCCUGAACCAAGAAACCAACCACAAGGAAAUCAGUGGUGUUAAUAUUCCUUUCAUAUAGCUCAAGAAGCAGCCAAUCAAGAUGCGGAUAAAACACUAAUCAAACAUUAUACUUAAGAGCUUAUGACUCGUGAACAAGUAAGACAAUAUUUAAGAAUAAACAACUAUACACUUGUUUAUGUGUAUGCCCGUGUUGUAGAGGAAAGUAAACAUGAAGGUUGGAGAAAAAUGCAGAUUAUGAUUCGUGAUCAUGAUUUUCAUUAUACCAGACACAAGUGAAAUAGUUAAAAUUUCCAUGUUGAUGGAUGUUCAGUAUGCAUGAAGCAUACUAUAAGAUUAAGUCCACACCUUCAUCCACAAAUUGACAAAAUUGUUUUGACCAUCAAAGUGAAGAAUAAAAAAUGUAGUACCUCAUCGGCAAGAGCGACAAUACAGGCAGUUGAUGAACCCUUGGCCUUUGUAUUUGAGUGAGCCUUCUCUAAUACCCUUAAUGGAUUAAAAGAACCUUUGGGCUCCUCUUGAACUGCUCUUACUGAAUUGGAUAUAAGUUCCUGUGCAAACAGUCCUGCAUUAACACCAACAUCUGCCCAGCCACCUACACCAUCUGCAACACCAAUUGCUUGUUCGUCUGUGCAAAUAAAAUGAGCAUCCUCUCCCCCUGUCGCCUCCUUAUCUGGAUGUGGUAGGUAACAUGAUCCUGAUAACAUCUUCAAGGGCUUGCGACCAAGAGUAGUUCUGAAAAUACAAGUAGUAUAUUUAAUUAAUCUACGACAGCAGAAACUUGAGAUCUCACUGAAAAUCAGUGACAGUAUGGAAAAUAUAAAUCAUGGUUUUAAAUUAUGGGUUGCAACCACAAUUGCAGCUGCAGUAUAAAGGUUUUGGAGACCUACAACUACAAUUGCAUUGCGGCCGCAAUUGUGGUUGUAUUUGUCUGCAAUUUUCUGUAAUAAUAGGCAUCACAUUGUAACCAUUAGCCUAUCUUUCAAACAGUAUAAACUAAUGGGAUAAACUUCAAAUCUUCAAUAGUAUAGGAAUUGGUAUCUAAAUCAUCUUAUCUUACCUAAGAAUAGUUCAAAGCAGAAAUUAAAAUAGAAAGAACAAUAAUCACAUACAGGUUAGGCCAAGUGGAUGAAUUUCCCGGUUGUUCAUCAGGAAGGCUGCUGUCCAACGACACAUCGUGUUCGGCCCUAGCUAAGCAGCAAGCAGAAGAAGAUGCAGAGAAAUUCUUCUGCCAUGGUCCAUGAACCAAACCUGAAUUUUGAAUACUCCAACUAGAAUAAAAAUUCGAACGCCCGAAAUUUAGAGGACCAUACAAAAGCUGAUGUGGUCUUCUCAAACUCACACUACCUCUCAUCAAACCUUUAUGAGAUCUUUCUUUAAAGUAAACACCAGCAGGUUUUGUGAAGUCUUGAACACCGCCGUAACUUGAGAUCAAUUCAUCAACGUAAACAUCCCCCAACAUAGCAUUGGAAGAUGAAGAAGCCAUUGAUUUUCUACCAAACUUAUUACUUAAUGAAGGAAGAUACAAAACGGGAUUUUUCUUAUUCCUAUACAAUGAUAUAGGUAAUGUUUUUUGGCUUGUUAUUGCUUCAUGAAUAUGAUAGUAAAUUGUAGCAUUAAGCUUUGAGAGAUUGUUACUACUACCACAUAGCAUCUUAAUUAAAUGCAAAAAAAUACCCUUAAUUCAGAUAAUGAUGUGAGAAGGCACAUUCCUUUCCUGAACCAACCCUUCUUUCAAGAGGAUUGAAGUGCACCCAGAUUCUGAAACAUUGAAAUUUUAAUAAUUAAAGUUAGCAAUAUUAUGAAAAGAAACACCGAGAUAGAAAAUGAAAAUAAAAAAAAUUGCAUGAGAAUUGAAUUCAAUAUCAUACGAAUAAUUUGUUUGUGGUUUUGAGAGAGUUUGCGCCUCUCCACAAAAAACCUAGAGAGUUUGGAGAUAGAGUUUUUAAGUUUCAAAUUUAAUGCUAUCUCAAAUUCCUAUUUGUCCGCCUUCAACUGGUUUUUAUUUUUCAUUUUUAUUUCGAUUUAUCUUUUCUUUUUUCUGGAUAUUUUGGGUCUGUCUCUUUUUUUUAUAUCGCAUAAUUGGAUUUAUUGUUAUAAAUAAUAACAAUCUUCGUACACUAUUUUUAUGUAUUUAAAUUGACUUUUUCAAAAAAUAAAUUAGUAAUAUUAUUAUUAUUAUGGACUAUGUUUCAGAAAAAUAAUAAAUACAAGUAUAUUUAAAAGAAUAUUUAUAUUUAAAGACAACAAGUAUGGUAUUUGUAUUUUAUAUGCAGAUGUUUUCGAUUUAAGUGUCUCUAUGUUUUGAUGAUGAAGAUUAUUAUUGAAAAUGAGAAUUAUUUGAAUGGUGGUUGUUAGAUUGGAUUUUUUUGAAUUUUAAGAUAAAGAUCAAAAGAGAAAUGAAUUGUGCAUAAGUAGUUCUCUAUUUGUAUCGAUAAAAUUACAAUAAAUUAUUGUAAUUUUAUAUAAACUAAUAUUCACAAAAAUUAUUACAAUUCGUAUUUUACUUAGAAGUCUAUAGUUAGAUUUUUUUUUUUUAAAUUGUCAAAAAAAUGAAAUAUUGCUAACAUAUACACAUUAGCAUAAAUAAAAUAACUCUGUCCACUUAUCAGAAACUAAAUUAUCUAAUAGGAAGAAGAAAAAAAUCAAUGAACCAUUAUAUUUAAAUAACAUAAAAGACAAAUUUAAGAUAAAAGAACUGUAUAAACAUUUUGUCUAGAUUUUUUGAAAUGUUUAAUUUUUUUUACUAAUUAAAUAUUAGUUAAAAAUGUUGUUUUGACAAAAAAAAAAUUAUGAGUUGAAUUGUAUAAUUUAUAUUUAUCAGUUAAUUCUUUCAAACAAUUUAAAUUCAAUUCGUUAAUUUAUCACUUUGCACUGCUUAUUAGAAAAUAAGUUUAAGGAAUUCUCGUUUAACAGGGGUUUAUUACGAGUUUUUUUUUUGCUUAAUUGCAGUUUUGGUCUCCUCAUUUUAGCUAAAUCGCAAAAAUAGUUACUUCAUUUUGUUUCUCUCCAGUUUUGGUCCCCCAAAUAGAAUUUUGGUCUAAAAUUUGAUGAAAUUUUAUUUUUUAAAGUCAUACUACACCAUUUAUGAUCAUAUAUUUCAGGUAUAAUUGUUGCAAAUGAGAUCUUGAGACAUGGUAUGACUUAAAUAAAUGCAAAAAAAAUAAAAUUUCAUGAAGUUUUGGACCAAAAUUCUGCUUGGGGGACCAAAACUGGGGAGAAACAAAAUGGAGGGACUACUUUCGCGAUUCAGCUAAAAUAGGGGGAUCAAAACUGCAAUUAAGCCUUUUUUUUUUACAAUAACCUAUUUUCAAAAAAAAAUUAUCAAACUACUCCUUUUUCUUAUAUACCAAUAUAUCUUUUUUUUUUCUUUUUUUUUAAUAAUCUAUUUUCAAUUUUUUUUAUCAUACUACUCCCUUUUCAAAAAUAUAUAUCAAUAUAACUUUUGUUUUUUCUCUCUUAUAAGUCGUCUUUGCAAAUGACGAUUUCGUUAAGGAAGUCAAGGCGACUUCCUUAAGCAAAUUUUUUUCAAAAUAACAAAAAAAUAAUAUUAUAUAUAUAUAAUUCACAAAAAAAACAUAAACACAAAUUUUAAAUUACAUAGAUUGAUUAGAGUUGCAUGUAACAUUUAGACAAUGUUUUUUAGUAUGACCAGUUAACCGACAUAUUCCGUAUUUUCUUAGUACUUUUUCAAAUUUUUUUAACAAAUAUAUAUAAUUAAUAUAAUUCAUUCAUAAAAAAACAACAUCACAAAUUUUAUAAAAAUUACGAUAAAAUUAAUAUCGAAUGUGACCUCUAGUACCACAUUGUUGAGGUUUUCUCACACGUACGAAAAAUUUAUAAAAUUAAAAUGGCUGAGAAAAAUAUUUUCAAUGUUAACUCCUGAAUCAUUGGAUGAAGAAAUAAUUACAUAGUGUACAUCGUCAUUUUCUGUUCAUAAAAAGGUAAAUAUUGUAUUUAUAAAAUUAUUAAUUAAUACACUAACGUUCAAAUUUAAUUUCGUAAAUAUAGUGAAAAUAGAGUGAAAUUUGGCAAUACACCUCCUUAUCAUGGUCGUUAACGAUAUAAUAUAUUAAAACGUUAAUUUAUGUCUAUUGCGUGUGAGAAAACCUCGACAAUAUGGUAUUGGAGGCAACAUUCGAUAUUAUUUUUAUAGUAAUUUUUGUAAAAAUUUUAAUGUUUUUUAUGAAUGAAUUAUAUUAAUUAUAUAUAUUUAUUAAAAAAAUUGAAAAAGUGCCAAGAAAAUGCGGACCAUGUGAGUUAACCGUCAUACUCAAAAAUAUUGUUCAAAUAUUACAGAUAACUCUAGUUAAUCUAUGUAAUUUAAAGCUUGUGUGUUAUGUAUUUUUAUGAAUUAUAUUAAUUAUAUAUAUAGAUAUAUAAUAUUUUAUUUUUGUUAAUUUGAAAAAAAAUGAAUAUUUUUUUUUAUUUUUAAAAUUGCUUAAAGAAGUUGCCUUUACAAAUGCAGACUUCCUUAAGAAAGUCGCCAUUUGCAACGGCGUCUUCUAAGAGAGAAGAAAAAAAAAGUAUAUUAAUAUAUAGUUUUGAAAAUGAAGUAUGGAGUAGUUUGGUAAUUUAUUUUAUAAAAUGAGAUAUUGAAAGAAAAAAACCCGAUUAUUUCCGAUAAACAACUACUUUUUUCGUAGGCAUAGUAAAUACUUACUUAGAAGAUGCAUAAUAGAACACUUUUAUUUUAAAGUUUAAAUUACUUUUUUUGUAGGCAUAGUAAAUAGAUACUUAGAAGAUGCAUAAUAGAACACUUUUAUUUUAAAGUUUAAAUGGAUCUCAUAUGAAUAUAUUAUAUUUAAUAAUCUUAUUUUCUUCGACACAACAACAAAUCAAAUAUGAUUUAAGAUUAUAAAAUACUUUGACAUCACACCUCAAUCUAAAACUUAAAAACAUUAGAUAUAGAUGUCGUCACUCUUAUAUAUAUAAUAUUUGUCAUACUCAUACUCAAUGUGAGAUUUACUCGUUCACACUUGAACUUAAUAUUGUUUUCCUCAAGAGUCUUUCACAUCAUAUAUCUGUACUAUAUUUAUUACCAACGAGACUCGUCUCUUAACUACAGGUCCAAGAAGACAUUAGGUACUAGGGUCCAACAUCAGGAUCUACUCUCGUUCAUCCACAAAAUCGAACCAUGACUCUGAUACCACUUAUCGAGGAGCGCAAAAAAAACAACAACGAAUCAAAUGUUUUAUGAUCCACAAAAAACUUUUACAUCACAUCUCAACCAAAAACCUCAAGACUAAUAUAUGAUUUAUAUUUUUUAUAUUUUGUCAUUUAUUAGCUGAUGUGGAAUUUACCAAUCACACUUGAAUUCCAACAAUAUUGUCACAUUUCCUAAUAGACACCCAAAUUUAUUAUUCCACACUUCAGGUGCUUAUUUGACGCUAAAUAGAGAAAGCACCCCCAAUUGUAAAUGUCCUUCAUUAAUUAAAUUAUCACUUAAAGACUCUUAACCAAUAUUGGUAUAGCGAAGGAGCGAUAACGAAUUUGUUUCUCACAUCUUGCUUCAACUAUCCGCGAAAAUAUGACAACUACUUUGAAGUCGUCACGUUUUAAAAUUGAGUAUAUUCACCGUCAACGAGUCUAGUUUCCUUACAUAUACCAAUAUAUGUAAAAUUUUAAAUAAAAAGUAUAGUUAUUUAAUUAAUAUAAUAAAAUGAAUUUUUUUUAUUAUUUUAAGUAAUUAAAAUUUAUAAUUAAUAUAUAAUUUUUUAUUUAAUUAAUUUUCAAAUAUUCAUACAUAUGUUUUAAAAAUAAACCCACAUAAAUGUUUCCAAUCAAAACGAGUGAGCGUCAAUGUAUAUCGGAUCAAAAUUAAAAGGACUUUGACUUUUAUAAAACAUAAUAUAAGAAGUGUUAGACAACAUAUUCUCUAACAUAUUAUUUAUGAUUAGUUGAAAUUCACAUAGAUUCCACUAAAUCAUCUUAAUUCCAUAUAAAUUUUGUGGGACACCUAUGUCAAUUUUUAGCAACAAAAAUUUAUGUUAUAAAGUGUAUUGUUUGCAUUAUUCAAGAAUAUAAAGUUAAGGGUGAAAAUUACUACUUCAUCUUUUUGAGAGUGUGAUUUUAACUAAAAGUUUUGUCUCAAAAUAAUAAUCAUUUACAAAUUUUAAUGCAACUUUAAUUAUUAUUUUUUAUUGUUAUGUUCAAUGAUUAAUAAAUACACAAUUUUCAAAGUACUGUUAUGGUUUGCAUUAAUAUUAAUAACAAUAUCCACCAAUAGUCAAUACGCGUAGUUUGGUUUUGCGGAUCAAAUAAAUAUUUGAUAAGUUUUGUGCUAACUCCGGCUAACAAGUCAAUCUACACAAUUUUUUUUCAAACAAUAUGUCUCAUGAAAUAGCUUAUUAUUCUUUGAGUCAAUAAUUAGGUAUAAAAGCCAAAAAUGACUUUGGUAUUUAACUUGGAGCAUCAAUGUUUCACCAACGAGCUACAAAUAAUUAUUUUUGCUUUAUCUUGGAUAAAAUGAGAAAGAAGCUUACAGGUUGGAAGACAUUAUUGCCUUUCUUUUGUAGGUAGGGUAAUCCUAAUUCAAGCUUCGUUCUCCAAUAUUUUUGAAUAUGUUAUUCAAUCACACCAAAUUCAUAUGGCUGUCUGUGGUGAAUCAUAAAAGAUUUAUAGAUAUUUUAAUUGGAGAACUACUAUUAAUCAACGUAAAGUGUAGUUUGUCUUUUGGCAAAAAAAUGCGUCAUCCUAAUAUGAGGUAGAGUUUGAUUUCAAAAGUUUGAGGAUGCUAAAUAAGGCUUACAUGAUGAAAUUAGCUUGACAUCUUAUAACCUAUUCAAAUAAAUUGUGGGUUAAGAUUACGAGAGUCAAAUAUGUUUACGGUUCUUCCAGUAUCCUUUAUAUGAAUUUUCGUUAUGUCUCCUCCUCUACUUGGAAGGCUAUUGUAAUUUUUUUGGAAGAUAUCAAAGAACAAAUUAUUUGGGUAAUUCAAGAUGAUCAUGGUACAAUAUUUUUGAAGAACCAUUGGAUUAUAGACUUUAAUAACCUUUAAUCACAUUUAUCUGAGGUUAUUCCUAUCGGGGAAUCUGAUUUUUCAAUAUUUAAUUAUGCUUCAGAAGGUAGAUGGAACUCAAACAAGAUUGAGAGGUAUGUGCCAAGAGAGAUUUAUGACACAAUUAUUUCUAUUAAACCCCUGCUAUAGGAAGACCAGGGGCAAAUCUUAGUUGUGACAGGAGGAGGCCACGACCACCCCAAAAAAAUUUCUUCAAUAAAAAUAGGUAUAUCUAUAAUAAUAUUUAUUUAUAAUUUGCGGUAUAUAUAACCAAUGUCACACUAAUAAUAUCAAAUUGUGAAGUAGCUUAGUGGUAAUUCAGAUUUUCAAAAAUCUCAUCUCUUUGGUUCAAGUCUCCACGAGACUUAUUUUUGUUAUUUUUAUCGUAAACAUAGUUGUUUGAUUGACAAAAUUGUAAAUAUUUAGUUUCGAACUGGGUACUUUUAAUACAUCUACAAAUUAUGAUUACCAUUACAACAAAAUAUAAAAUUAGUUGAUAAGAUACCACUCCUAAUCAUGAUCCUAUAUUUGAUCAUCUUUGGAGUUGAAAUGAUCUUAAUCGUCCCCUCGUUGUCUCAAAAUAUUACAAAUGAUUAAAUAUAUUAUAGAGGGAUUUCCACGUGAUUAGGUUUUUAAGCUUUAGUAUGUAUAUUUUGGUUAUAGUGAAAUUUGUCUACCAACGACACUGGUCAAGUUAAAUCUUAUUAGAGUUCCUUAUUUCGUGCAACGUAUACGAGGUUUGGAAUGGUCGCAAUAGCCUAGUGUUUUUUCAAUCUUCCUCCUUAGAAAAAACUUUGUAUUUUUUUUCUCUUCAGAUUCUCAAUCAAGCUCAAUCAAUUGAUAAAAUUAUUCUUCAGCAGAAACCUCAGCAGUCCUCAACUAAUCAAUAAGUAGAUAUUGCAUGACACAAACCCCUAAGGUUGGUUCAAAUUAAAUGUGAAUUGUUCCUCUAAGGCUUCUUCUGGUAGUUCUACAUGUAGUGAACUUGUUCGUGAUAGAUGAUAAAUUUGUCAAAUGUUUUUUUUACAUUAGAAUUGGUUCUUGUUCUAAGGUGUGGGAUGAACUUUGGACUUUAAGAUUAUGCAUCAAGCUUGCACAACAACUCAAUUUUACUUUACUUAUUUUUAAAUUAGACUAUGCAAUUGUGACUAAUACGAUUCACACAUCAUCAUCAUUCACAAAUAUUCCCAUCAAACAUUUUUCUCCAAUAAGUUAUUUAUCUACCUCAUUUGAUUUCGUAAUUUAAUUUUUUUUAUAAAAUAAAAAGUUGAAUAAUAAUAAUAAUUAUUAUUAUUAUUAUAUUUUUUUUAAUAAUUAUACUAAAAAAUUAAAUGAUAUUUAUUAUAAAAGACAUAAUAUUUAACAAAUAAAAAACCCAAACAGAGUCUUUAAAUUUGAAAGCGAAAAGUGCGUUUUAGUUUUUCUAUUUUCUCCGAUAAUACCAAACGAAGCUGCCCAAAGCCCAAGCUUAGUGGUCCGUUAUUACCUCUUCAUUCUGGCGGUGUUAGGGUGUGCACAGUUGCUUCAUUGUAUCCUUAAACCCUGUGGCCAUUGCCGUCAAUUCUUUCGCGGAACCCCGGGCAUUCAAAUAAUCGCAUCCUCAUCCAUUCAUCUCCCUCUACUGUCUCAGUCCGCUCGUUCACUUCUGCCGGCUGGCCUCCGGCGUCUCUCCCACCGCUCGUUCGUGCCUCUCCCUCUGUCUUGCGUCGCGUCUCCCACUCUCUCUUCUCGCAUCUCCCUGCUGCGCACGCAGCCUCUCUCCGACUUUCAUGUAGGUUUUUUCUCUUUUACUAUUUGUGAAUUGUGAACUGGUAUAUUAGACUGAUGAAGAAGGAAUUUAGUUACUUGAAAAUUUUAUAUACUCUCUUUUUACUAUCGUAUUUUCUUCGUAUUGAUUGUUUUUAUGAUUUUUUCAACUUCCUCAGUUGUUUUGUUAUCAGUGAAACUUUGUUAUGGAUUUCGACGACCUAGAACCGCCGAAUCAGGCCGUCGCUUCUCGAGUCUCUAGAUUCGCGCCAAAAUCAUCAAAACUCAAACCUAAAAAAGAACCACAUCUCGUUCCCAAACAAGAACCAUCAUCGUUACCCUCCACCAAAACAGAGCCACAAGAACCAGGUUUAACUGCCAAACAGGAUGAAAAUUGCUUUGAAACUAUGGCGCCAACUCAGACGAAGCCAGAACCAACUCAGACGAAGCCAGAACCAACUCAGACGAAGCCAGAACCUAACGACGCUGUUAAAAAUGAUGUUGUAUUAAAGCCCGAAGCCAAAGAAGAUUCAACAAGAGUAGAUUCCGUGGAUGAAGAAAUGGCUGAAGCAGAAGAAGAUUCUAGACAAGUUGACGAUCCCAUGGAGGAAGAGGACGCAGUUGUGCGCGUAAUCGACGUGUACUUUUCACCUUCCAUCGAUGCUGACACUCAGGUUUGCUAUUGAUUCUGCAAUUUUGAAUUUUGAGUGUUGGAUUAUGCAAUUUACCUCGGUAGUCUAAUUUGUUUUUUUUGUUGCUUUUAGUUGUACAUUUUGCAAUAUCCUUUGAGACCUAAUUGGAGGCCAUAUGAUUUUGAUGAAGAAUGUGAAGAGGUGAGUUUCUUAUUAAUUUUUUUAGGGAACAAAUUGACAAUCCUAUUGACUCAUUAUUGUGUUUUUGAUUGUGUAGGUUAGGUUGAAUCCUAAAAGUUCAGAAGUACAAAUUGAUUUGUCUGUUGAUUUGAGGUCAAGUAAUGUUGACGAAGAUCAAGCUAAUAAACUCAACUAUAAGAAGCAGGUAUUUUCAUUAUCUAUAAGAAUGUAUUGUUAAUCAAAUGAUAUGCUAUAAAAGUUAACGCACCACCAAGAUCAGCAAUACAACAUGUGUUUUAAUGUGCAUGUUUCAAUUAGUAAAUAAUCAUACCAAAUGUUAAAUAUUUGACAAAGAAGCCUCGAUGAUUCAUUGCCAUUGAAAUUAGUAAUGGUUGUGCAUUUCUUGUGUGUAUUUUGAUGAAAAGAUUGUAGCCAUCUUGUUGACAGCUUGAUAGUUUAGAAUCCACGACUCUAGAAUAUAUCAAUGGCUCAAUGCUCCUUCUUAAUAUGUGGGCUACUUGUUUUAAACUAUAGGCCCCAAAAUCAUUAUAUAUUGCUUCUACUUACUGGCAUAUGCAUCUUUGAAAUAGGUCAAGGCCAGUUACUUUUGCUGGAAAAUAUGAUGUGGAUGUAAUACUAGAGAAAGAAGAAGAAACCAGCUUAAAUCAUGAAUUACCGAUUAGGAUUAUUUAAUCUUUUUAAAUUUCUAUUAUUUAGGAUUUGCUGAUUAGGAUUUCUCUAUCUCUUUUAACUAGAUAAGAUCCUGCCUAUCAGAAUUCUUAGCUGUGUAAGUUUGAUUAAGACAUCUUCAUUAUUUGCAGCCUAUAAAAAGGGUAGUUUGGUAUUGGAAUAAACAUGCAAGAAAUCAUCCUUUAGGAAAAUUGGUGUUAGUCUAGGAGGACUCUCUCAAGGGCGACUCUACUUCUUACUUUCACCAUAGGUCAAAAGAAGGAUGUCUGGACCUUUGAUUGAUCCUGUACAAAGGUUCAAAACAGAGUAUUUAUUAAUUAAUGAUUAAAAGGAGGGAACCAAGAUUAUAAUUAACAUAAAUUAUGCAUGAUAAUUGGUACAUUAAAUUUUCAACAAGUUGACUCUAUGUUAGGGCAGUGUGUUAUUGUUUACUUUCUGCUUCUGAGCAUAGGUUUAGGACGAUAUUUCUAUACCUAUCUUUAAUUGUUGCGGUUCAAUUGUAGAAUUUGAUGCACAUUGUGUGUUCAGUUCGAUGUUACAAUAAAUUUUUUGUUUUGAGGAAAGCUUGCUUCACUUGUUAGCAGAAAGUCUGCUGCUUUGUUCUAAAAAAACAUAUUGUUUCUUGAAAUAUUGCAAAAAAUUAUAAAAUGUGAAAAGCUUGCAUGGCAGAUUACUAAUGCACGUCAGUUAAUCAACAUAUGAACAUGAAAUUGUGUAAAAUAUUUAUCACUUGAAUCAAUGAUACAACUAUGCUAAUAUUACAGACCCCAAUACAUUGUUUGAACUUUAAUUCAUGUAGUUUAUCCUGUCUAGUAUGGUAAUUCUUGGUUGUACACAUGCACUGUUAUCAAUGUAUUUUUUGUUUCUAAUUUUUCAGUCUAUUUUCUAAAUGUACUCCUCUUCGUUUAUUGAAUUGCUAGACAUACUUUUGUUAUAUAUGAUUAAAACAUGAAUGUGAACGGUUGUGUUUUGUUUGUGAAGCAGUCUCAGAAAAAUAUUAUAUACUAUAACUAAUGAUUUCACACUACUUUAACUCUUUCCAGACUCUAUCAACUAAAUGGAAGCCCCCUCCUGCAGAUGGCUGUGCUGUUGGGCUUCUUAUGGGAGAUAAGGUACUUGUAGUUUCCUUUCAAAGUGGUAAAUUACCUGAACAACAUUGUGUAAGGUAUGCCAUUGCCAUGGCGAAGACUGUCAUUUUUUUUAUUAAGCAUUUAAUUCUUCUUCAAUAAAUUUGGGUCAGGUGAGUUUUGCUUAAAAAUACUUCUGAGGAUGAGUUUCUUCUUGUUUUAGAUGGGGUAUAGCUUAUUUAGGUUUUGAACUGAAGUAGGGGCAAUUAAUUAAUGUGUAUCUUUAAUUAAAAGCUCAUUGAAAAGCUAAUCCAGCUAGAAGUGUAUAACUGGGUAUGUUUCAAAUAGUUGUGAAAAUGGGGAAAAUGAGGAUCUGUAAAGAUAUGGAAAAUAAUAAUCUAAGGGAAUUGUAUCAACAACAUUAAGAAAGUAUAAUUAUAAUUAUGACUACAACCAACAAGUAUAUUCGAGUUCUGAUCCACUAGUGUUAUCUUCAAUUUCGUGAUUUAUGUCUUCUUGUUUCUUCUGAUUACCGAGAGAUUUAUGAAUUAUAUCACGGUGAUACGUUAGUUGAUUUUUAAUUUGGGAAAAUUUGUAAAUUUGACUGCCUCCUUCUUGGUUGCAGUUGCACCUGCAUCCAGUUAAUGCAGUGGUGCAGCUCCGACCAUCACGAGAUCAUCUCAAUGCUGGUGGCUCAGUAAAGAAGAAUGUUGGUGCAAAAAGUGAGGGAUCAAUUGAAGAUAAGUCUGUUGCUACGUCAAAGAUGCAGGUAUUGUGUUUAUUACAUCAAACUAGAAAAGGAUGCACAGGUAUAAGCUGUUGGAAUUGUAAUUUUUGCAUGAUGGCACUAAUCGAUGAUCUUGAAAAAAAUUUCUACACAUUUUUUACAACAACAGUAACUAAGUCUUAUCCGACCCAGUGGUUGGCUACAUGAAUCAAACACCAUAUUAUUCUAUCACAAAUCAUGGUGAUAGCCAAACCAUUGACCUCUAAAUCUUCUUUAAUAGUUUGACGUAUAGUUUUCACACUUUUUUAAUAUUUUAAUAAUAUGAUUAAAUCUCGUGUUUGGGUUGUCCAAUGUUUAUGAUUUCUUCACUGGUAUUCAAACAUAAGUUGGGAAAUGUAGUUUAAAAACCCUCUAUAAUAUACACAUGCUCCCCCCCCCCCCCCCCCCUCAACAAACANNNNNNNNNNNNNNNNNNNNNNNNNNNNNNNNNNNNNNNNNNNNNNNNNNNNNNNNNNNNNNNNNNNNNNNNNNNNNNNNNNNNNNNNNNNNNNNNNNNNNNNNNNNNNNNNNNNNNNNNNNNNNNNNNNNNNNNNNNNNNNNNNNNNNNNNNNNNNNNNNNNNNNNNNNNNNNNNNNNNNNNNNNNNNNNNNNNNNNNNNNNNNNNNNNNNNNNNNNNAUAGUGGAAAAAAUCCGGGAAGUUGGGGGGGGGGGGGGGCAUCGACCUUAGUAUUUAGUCAUUAACAUCUUUGUUCCGUUGUCCCUUCUCUACUUUGAUAUCUGGGACAAGUUUUGUUUUCUUGCCAGAGGGACCACUAAACCUCUACCUCAAUUUUGUAUUGUACUUUUUUCAACUAUCUCUAUCAUGCUGUUUUCUUCAAACUUAAGACACGCUAUUGUCUAUCUGCAAUCUGUGAACACAUUUUUGGGCAUUUCAAUUUGCUUAUUGAUUUCCUUUCUUUGUUUGCAGAAUAAGAGUGACGGCGAUGAGGUAUAACAGUUGUUAAAACAGUUAUGUAAUUUACUUGUAGCAGUUUUUGGUCAUAAUGGGGGUUUUGCUAUAGUUAUAAAUGACCAUGGUAUUUAUUAUGAUUUUGAAUUGGAUAUAAUUAUGUCUACAAGUAGUUUUGUUAUACCAUUUUAUGAUUUUGAAAUGCUAAUUAUGUCUACAUAUAUUAUAUAGCUAGCAUUUUUUUUGUCACAAUGGGGGUUAUGGUUUAGUUAUAAAUGAUCAUGAUAUUCAUUAUGAAUUGUGAAUUGGAUAUAAAUGAUCAAACGGUUUCUGAUGCUCUAACUGUCCUACCUCAGUCUGAUAGCUCCAAUUAAAACUUCAAACCAGAAAAUGAAUAUUGAAGAUAGUUAUUAUUGUGCUUUUUUCUAAGAAAGAUUUACUCCCUCCAAAGAAGGCUGAUAUCAAUAAAUAUUCCUACUGGAUAAUAAUAAUAAUAAUAAUAAUAAUAAUAAUAAUAAUAAUAAUAAUAAUAAUAAUAAACUUAUAAUGAAUAAAUGUCAUUUUGAUUGCUACAAUUGGAAACUUUGGUGAACCUGCCGUGUCACAUUAUUGAUAAAUUAUUUGCUUGUCUCACCAAAUGAAUUAUAAAAUAGUUGUAUACCAUGGAUGAGAAGCAUCUUCUCCUAACAAAAUAUGGGUUGAUUCCAUUAUUUGCAUUUUUGCUAAGAAAUUUUAAAUGGUGAUUUUAUUUCUUAACUCAUAUUUUUACUUUUUAUUUUCCCUCCUUUUUUUCUUUCUUUCUGUAUCUUGUGCAGUGCUGGGUUCCUCUCAAGUACCAUGGUUGCAAGAGUGACAUCUCAUCUAGAUAUUUUCAGCAAAUGGUGGCACAAGAAAGUUCUCCCAUAAACUUUGAAAUGAGCUCGUAAGAAUAUACCUUGCUUAUUCUUUUCUACUCUCUCUUUUAUAUGAAUAUGUAAAUUUAUUAAACUUGUGAAUAUUUGAACGGUUUAAGGUAUGACUACAUUGCUACACUCUGUCCUGGAGUAAGCAGCAACACUUUAGCUAAAGGUCCUUCUAAAAGGUAAUGUCUUCCUUUAAUAUCAAACGAGCAUCAUUAUUUUUUAGCCCUUCUGAUUUAAUAUUUGCCAACUUUCUGUUGUACCUGCAUGUGUGCAUGUGCACCCGUCUCUCCCUCUCUCCCUCCCUCUCCCUCUCUCUGUAUUCUCCUCCAUGAUUCUCUCUCCUUCUCAGUAGUAUUUUUAUAUUUCUUAUAAUACUAUAUUCAUUUUGUUCACUUGUUUAGUAUUACAAUUGGCUUGUAAUUUUGAUUUUCAUGGGUUGUGUUUUCAGGCGUCUUCUAGCAUUGCCGGUGGAAGAACGUCUGGAGAAAAUGCUUAUUGAGGUUGGUAGCAUCCUUAGUUUUACCUUGAUUUCUUAUUGUUGUUGAGAAAGGGCAUUUAUACCCAACAACAUUCUACAUCUUGCUUUUUAUGCUUGUCUAUUGUUGAUUGCUUCCAAACAUGUUUUUUCACUUGGCAUAUAUUCUUUAUCUCUGAUUCAAGUACGCCUUGUGUGUGUGUUUUAACUAUUAAGCUAUCAUUAGACAUAUUUCUCAGAUAUCAUUAACAUGUGCCAUAGUUCUUCAUUCUCAAAUAGCAAGAACUGAAGUUUCUGCUUUCUGUUUAAAAGGCGUUUGCAUUUUGUAAGGCUGAUACCAGGUUUAUGGGCAACGUGGCAUUUUAUUUAUUUAUUUUUAACAUUUAUGUUUUAGAAUAAUAUUUUAAGCCGUGUUAAUAGUGGAUCACAGUAAAUAGCGAAACACCAAAAAUUCGAUAUGAGAAAUAGUGGAAUCUUCAGAACAAUAAUUAUAUAUAAAAUAAAGUAUGUUGCAUACAAAUAAACUGCAUAAACAGAAGUUUAAAAAAGGCUCAUAUUAAAAUCAAAGCAAAAAACCUCACAUUAAAAUCAAAGCAAAAAACCUCAAUAAUUCAAAACAACUAAUAAAAGAUGUUGCAUCCUAUCUACAGCCCUAAAUAGAAAUUUGAAAGUGUAUAUUGCCUACAGCCCUAAAUCCCAAUUCAAAAUAACUAAUAAUUCAUAGUAGUCCUAAGUCCUAACUAGUGAUAACAAAAAACAAUGACAAAGAUUUAACAUAAAAGAUAGUCAUAUUGCACUGGUUGACAGAAUUUCCAUCCAAUGUCAGCCCUAGAUGAGACAAUUGAAGGAUUUGAUGGUUCUCCACUAGUCAUACUAUAACAAAAAUUACAAAUAGUAUUAAUAAGUAAAUAAUAGUACAAUUAUGGAAGAAUAUGAAAACAGAGGAUUGAAAGAAUCCGAAAAACACGGGGUUGAGCCGAAAAACAGAGGAAGAGAAAAAAUAGAAAAAGAAAUAAGGAUGCCGAAAAAAAAUAUGGAAACAGAGAAAGAGAUAGGAAUAGAAAACAGUGGAAGAGAAGAAAUAGAAUAAACGAGCAAAGAGGAAGAGAAGAAAUAGAAGAAACGAGAGAAGAGGAAGAGAAGAAAAACAAUUGAAAAGGUAUUCGUUACCUGAAAAAGAAGUCAUGUCGGAAAUCUUGCUGGUGAUGGAGGCAGAGUGCGAAGAGAAAUGUUGGAGGCAGAGCGUAGAGGGCAAAGGAAGUUUAGGUAGUGGGAAGUUUACUAGGUUAGAGAGGUAGUGGUUUAUAUAAUAGCCACCAACUCAACAGAUUUAUAUUUUAAUGUUUUUUGAAAUUGAUUGUGUGUAGCUCACAUGCUAUGCUAGUGUUAAAAUUAGGGAGAAGAAACAUUAAAAUCUGUUUUACGCAAUUGCUUCCAUCCCCGCUUCAAGUAAAGCGACCACUAUUUCCAUCACAGCGAAUCAGCCAUGGUGCAUGGCGUAUUGGGAUUCGUCGCGUUUGAUCAAAAUCACGCCAUGUAAUAGCGCUAUACCGGUAAUUUAACAAUGAUUUAAGGGAUUGUUUGUAUGUCUCUCUAAGUAUCAUUCUCAUGUUAUGGCAAUAUAAAGAGGAGAGAGGGAAGGAAGACAGAGAGAGAAAUUUCUUAUUUUGGUAUUUGGUAGGACACUCACAAUUGAAUAGAGUAAUAUUCCAUCUAUUUCUGUAUUUUUUUAACAUAUCUAACAGAGCACUUUUUGAUAGGGCCCUCCACUUCAUCGUUUUAGUGCUAUCAAGCACUUUGCUCCUGAAUACUCUGAUGACGAACUGCUGAACUUUCUUCAGCAGCAUGCGUUAUUGCUGUGGGGAUUCUGGGUUCCAAAAAGUAGAUUGCUAUAUCCUAGAGGUGGUGUAGAAAUGAUGGCAAGAAAUUAUGCCCUUGUAAUGUUAAGCAAGAGUUUGAAAGUGCUAUCUUCUGAUUUGAAAUUGAAGAAGGCACUUGGUGAUCAUGUGAAAAACUUUCUGAACCAAUUUGCUUUGGAAAAAAUUGAUCUAAAAGAUAAAGUUUCAUAUUGGAAGUUCACAGAGACUCCAGAUGAGUCCUUUAAAAAAAAAUUUCCAAAUGUUGUUAAACAACAAGAAGAGAUUUUUAAGAUUUUAGAUCAAGAGCUAUCGUCUGUUCUCAGUAAUGUUGGAAAACCCAGAGAAAGUGAAAGUGCUGUAACAAACAGUGGUGUCAACAGUGAUCUUGUUAGAUCAGCAAAUUCUAAUCCACAGGUUACAAGUCCAGGGGAAGUGCCUCCUAGGAAGAUGACCAUGUCAAGUGAAACUCGUCAUGCUCUGCCAAUUGCCCUCAAGAAACUUUUUCAGACUCACAAAGUUUGCAGGUAUGGUCUUAGCGACAUCUAUUUUUUGGUGGUUUCCCAUUUUGAAAUGAUCCCUUAGUUAUUUUUGGAAGGCCAAACUUUGGUAGUUAAUCCAUACUGCACUGCAACUCUUUCAUGUUUCUAUAGUUAUUCUUCGUAUUUGUCAAUAUGUCUUGUAUUUAUGGACCGAUAAUAUUCUUUUAAUUCUAUUCUCUUUCACCAAAAUAAUUCUUCUGUUUCAACCUGCUUCUAUAUUAAACUGAAACCGUAGAAUUUGUAUAUCCUGCUGUAGGACCUGUGUGUGUGUGUGAAGGCAGGGUGCUUAGAUAUAGGGUGCUUAGUGCAUGAUCUAACAGGUUUCCUAACAGCUAUAGGAAUAUCAAGGUCAGUGUAUUUAGGAGUAGUAUCAAACUCACUUUACGUAUUUCAGUUUAAGUAGGAUGAUUCUCCCUCGGUCAUUAGAUUCAUGGCAAUUUUGCGAUGUGGACUCAGCAUGGUUCUUCCUCACCAAAACCUUUCCUUUCUAAAUCUUGUUACCUUCUUCAGACCUAUUUACUUUACAUGACUUUUCAUGUGUUGGCAUUUCAAUUGGUUUACCAUUUUCAAGAUUUUCAUCAUUCUUUUCAUGAGAAAAUGUGGGUGCAAAUUCUCCAGGUUUCUCACUUAUAGCAUGAGUAGGGCUCAAUUAAUGAAUCUUGGCCAUUUUCUGUUCGUGCAGAAGCACAAGUCUUAGAAGUUUGUGAAAAUAGCAUGUUAUCAGAAAAAAUUAUGUCUUCAGUUUUAAAAAACGUUUUAGACGAAGACGAGGGUCAUCAAAGAAAGGCAUGUUUUCAAAAAAAGUAACAUCCAUGGUGACAAACAAUAUUUUUUUGUUUUUGGAUCAAAACAUUUGUACCCCUUCUGGUUUGGCGAGUAACCAACAAAAACACAUUUUAUAGCAUGUGGUUCAAGCUUGGCCUAGGUUCUUAUGUUCAUGACCAAAAGUUGUGCACUCAAGUUUUUUAAAAUUCAAAUCAUUUGACACACGAGCAAUAGGAAAACAUUCUUUGAAAAUUUGAAGUGGAGUUUGAAAGUUAAGGACUUUUGAUGGCAUCCUAUUAAUCAAAUAAGAAGCAGUUAAAACAGCUUCCCCACAAAUAAUUUGCUACUUCACUUGAGAACAGCAAGGCUUGAGCCACCUCUAAUAAGUGUCUGUUUUUCCUUUCAUCAACCCCAUUUUGUUGGGGUGUGUUUGGACAAGAACUAUGGUGUGUGAUUCCAUUUUCAAGAAAAUACUCACUCAAUACCAAGUUAAAAUAUUCUUUGCCAUUAUCACUUCUAAAAACUUGAAUGUUUGUCUGAAAUUGAUUUUGCACUAUUUAAAAAAACUCCUUUACAGCCUGACAAGCAUCAGAUUUUCCCUUUAACAACUAUACCCUACAAAGUCUGGUGUGGUCAUCUAUGAAAGUGAUAAACCAUUUGUUGUGAGAUAGUGUACUUGUUCGGUUAAGGCCCAGAUAUCACUAUGAAUAACUAAAAACAGUUUUGAUGGCUUAUAAGGCUGUUUUGGAAAAUUGGAACAACCAUGUUUUGCUAAUUCACAUGCUUCACAGUGAAGCGAAGAAAUAUCUUUAUUAUGAAAUAACUGAGGAUUGCCUAGCCGUAAAUGCCAUAACAUAAUGUCAUUAUCAUUAUUAGAAACAAAAAGAGAUUCAAAGCAAAAACUUAUUGGUUUGGAAGGUUGUUGUGAUCCAAUGUCAAAGUAGUAGAGUCCUCCACUCUCGUUACCACAACAAAUCAUCUUCCCCGAGUUCAAAUCUUGAAAGACACAAUGAGAGUGAGAGAAAUUAGUUUGACAGUUUUAUCCUGGACCAGUGUUCUGACAGAUAAUAAACUGCAAGAUAAGGGUUGGUUAGCAUUGGGGAUAGCACAAUAGAACCUUUUCCUGCAAUGGCCGAAAAAGAGCCAUCUGCAAUUUUUAUUUUGUGGUCACCUGCACAAGGAGUAUAAGAAGAAAAAAGAGUAGAAUCACCUGUCAUGUGAUCAGGUGCACCUGAAUCUACUAUCCAAGUACGGCUGGAACUAACACUGAGAAGGCAGAAUUACCUUUUUGGGCUACAGAAUUACUAGGUGUUUGGGGUUCGAGAAUUUUGUAAAGUUUUUCUUAUUGUUCUGCCGUGAGCGGAAGAGGUGAGAGUUCUUGAGCAGAAUUACUGGCUUGGAAUGCACGACCCUCGUAUCCAUUUUUAUUCUUGUGGUUGCCAUGAUAACACAAGAAUAAGGCAGCAACAAACCGCCUCGAAGGCGGAAAAAAAACGAAACUGCAAAUACGGAGGCUAGGGUUUAUGCACAAGUGAGACCUCCAAACCCCAAAAUCAGGAGCUCUGAUGCCAUGUAGAAAAAAGUGCUAGAAUGCUGUUGUAAUUAUAUUCUUCAGUCUAAGCUGGUUUAAAUAAAGAGAAUACAAGUAAUUAUCUUCCUUGAAUCAAAGAUAUAUUUUACAGAAAUAAAAACAGAACACAUCAUAUUAUUAUAAAAAUAGAAAAUCUGCACUAUUUAAAUAGGAAAUAAGAUAAAAUUCUCCAACACUAAUUACUAGUGUAACUCACCCACUUAACUAAUUGACUUCUCAAUUCCUGCUUGAAGACCUUGCCCCAAGGUAAUAGGUUGAUUCAUUCUAUUCCACUGGCUGAAAGAAACAUCCGCUGGGUCCCAUUGUGUUAUGAAACUCCUGAAGCAUAAACCCAUCACUCAGUUUGCACUACCUGUAGUUGUUGGUAACAAUCCAAAAGUUGACAGGCAACCUUCAGGAUCAUAUUGGUUCCCAGUAGGGUUAAAUAGCAACCCUUAUGAAUUAUAUGAAUAAUCCAUGCAUGUUUCUGAUGACACAUUGUUUAUGCUCCCAUAACAGAGGAUGGGUCAUGGGUGACACUGGGUAUAGCUUUUAAUUCUCCAACUCUAGUGGGAUGGGUAGUCAUUGACUGUUGAACAAUGACUGGUAUAAAAAAUUGGUGGUGUUUGGCAUGCACAUACCUAUGAAGCUAUUCCCAAAGGAGCGCUACAAAGUGGUCGAAGAGAUUUGUGCUGGAACUUGUUUUUCUCCUAUUCCUACUUCGCCUCCUGUAACUCUUGUUUUGAUGCUUAAAUAGAGGCCUAAUCACGUAAGACACUAAGCCGAGUCUCAAGUUCCUGCUGUCAAAGAGUUCCUUUUGGCUUAUAUAAUAAUAUUAUUAGAAAUAACUAAACUGUUUCCAAUUCCGGUGUUUUAAAAGACCAUGCCACUUUUGAGUGAACCCAUCCAUCUUUUACUUCUGUUUUUGUCAAAGUAAGCUUGGUCCGUGGUACUAGAAAUUUAUUCUUUUGCUUCCCAUCUUGUCCGUCUUAUUUCUCUCACUAAACAAAUACUAUUGUUGGCUGGGAAAGCUCUGUUGGCCUGUCAAAGACCCAUAACUCCGACACCAUUGAAACUUGACGUGCGAAGAGAUCUGAAGAGAGACCAUCCUAUUAGUUGGGACUUGUGUUGCAGUAAUGAGGGAUAGGGGGGCAUUAGGUCUAGGAAAUUUGUUCUUUAAACAUAUUUAUUUGGUAGAAAAGGGCUAUUUGGAUUGAAUCUCGUUUAGCUUGGGAUGGGUGGGAAUGCCAGUCCUUGGAAGCUCAUCUCUCAGGGAUAUGCAUUUGCUGACCAAUUUAUAACUUAGUCUGUGGGUAAUAACAAUCACAUAGGGGGGAAAAAUCUCUAUUAGUUGCUUCUUCAAAUUUUAAAUUGAAUUUGGCCCUGCGGAAGUUCUAUAUUUUUUAUUUUCUUGUUUGGGUGACAAUUGUCUUAUGUAGCUUUAAUUUGUAUUGGCAGUUUCCAAUUGAUAUGCCAAGAAUUGCGUGGAUUGGCACUUGCCAAAACUAUGCUUCCAAAGGGAGGUUCUAAAAUUGCUGUGGAUGCAGCUCAGAGUCUUGAUGUUCCACAAGAUGAGCUGAAGGCUGUCUUGGGUGAAGUUGCAUGCGACAUCCAUGGUUGUUAUGUGUUACAGUCAUCACAAGAUGACCCAUUCAGGUUCUCUCUCUCUCUCUCUGUAUUCCAGCAGGAAAGUAAAAAUUAUGAUUAUUUGCUCUACAAGAGUUCAAUGAGUUUUCUGAAAAGCAACACAUUCCAUUUGUUUACAUCACUCGUGAUUGUAUUGUUCCUUGCAGAGAUGUUGUAAUUGAUAUGCUUCGUGGAAGUGGACCCAAUGGCAAGCUGAAGAAGGCUGAGAUACUUGAAGCUGCAAGGAGAAAACUCAAUAGGGAUGUCCCUAACAAUGAAUAUAUCAAGGUUAGUUUUCUUCUAGUUUAACUAAAUUUUUUAUUUAGGUAUCUUGAUAAGUUAUAGGAUAUUCUUAACAUUUGUUGUCUCGAUGGUUUUUCACUAAGAACAUACGACUUCCCACUUAAUGUUUUGUUUAUCAAAUUCCUAAUUAGAUUAAUAGCCUAUAUCAUGACAUUCUUUUAUGCUGAAUAUCUGCUCAAUUACUUCUUUAGCAUGCACUGUUGAUCAAGCUAAAUUUAAUGUUUCAGCAACCAAAACAGAAAAAUUAAACUAUGUACGUGAUUAUAAUGUUAUAGGCUUUUUAUCCUUUAUCAAAUUAAAAAAAGAAGUCACUGGCAAUGAUAAAGCUAGCAAGUUUUAUCCAUAUAUACACAUAUUUACUAUAACGUGUGUUUGUAAUAUGCCUUCUCUAGUUCGUUUUUGCUGGUGAUUAGGUGUGUGAAGCUUUUUUCUUUGACUUGUUCGAUAACGAUGGAACAAUAUCUAGUAUCUACUCGAACAUGGAAAUGAUGUUAGGGCAGUGAAAAUAGAAAGAACCAUAUAAAUAAAGUCUAAAAGUAUGAAUGUUAGAGCAGGGCAGUGCAUAUAAAUAACGCGGAAAUGAUGUUAGGGCGGGGCAGUCCAAGUAAAACAGUAUGAAUGUUACCCUGCAAAGCCAUAUCAAGUCAAAAAGUCUGAUAAAUGAUCUGGACACAUUCAUCAAUUGUAUCAUCCCCCCCGCCCCCCNNNNNNNNNNNNNNNNNNNNNNNNNNNNNNNNNNNNNNNNNNNNNNNNNNNNNNNNNNNNNNNNNNNNNNNNNNNNNNNNNNNNNNNNNNNNNNNNNNNNNNNNNNNNNNNNNNNNNNNNNNNNNNNNNNNNNNNNNNNNNNNNNNNNNNNNNNNNNNNNNNNNNNNNNNNNNNNNNNNNNNNNNNNNNNNNNNNNNNNNNNNNNNNNNNNNNNNNNUUCAGCAGAACCUUUCAUAUCCUGCUAACUUCUUUUUAUUAACUGAUCUAACGGAAAUCAUACUAUACUUGGUGUUCUUUUGCUGUUGAGUAUAGAGGGAUAGCUUCUUUUGCUUGUGAUUACGGAGGUAUAGUUAUUGGUGAUAGACUUCUUACUCAAAUAUAUACAUCUCAUUCAACUUUUCCACUACAACUGGAUGAUAGUCAUUAAAUUAUUUUUAUACACAAAUUUACGCAUCUUAUUAACGUUGACGAAUGAUAUUUUGUUCCUUUUUUUAACGGCUUUGAUAUAUGGAAAAUGACUAGUACAAUUUAAUGAUACAUGCUCAGCUGGGUUUCAUUGUAUAUAUAUAUAAUCAGUACCUCCAAUAUUAUUGACUUUUUAAAAGUGGUACAUAGGUGGACCUAGGUUGACAUCUAAGUAUAUAAAGUUAUAAUUUGUUUUUGUAAAGUUACCAACUUGAUAAAUAGUGGGUACCUUUUUUUUAAAUAAAAUAUUUCAUAUCUUAAAAUGUGUACACCUCUAAUAUCGACCUUUUAAAAGUGGGUCAAAACUUGGAUCUAGGUUGAAUAUGUUGUGUAUGUCAUGAGAAACACUCACCACCUAACUUUAAAGAAACCAAAACAAUUAUCACUUAAUAUAAAUUGAAAUUCUAAUGACGAUUAGGGUAUCUGCGGUGUGGUUUGAAUUAAUUUUGAACUAAAAUUCAUUCUAUUUAAAGAUAAAAUUAAAUACGAUUUAAAUUUGGAUGACAAAUUUAAAAAAAUUGAAAUCGAUCAUAUUCAAUUUCAAAUGGUUUAAUUUAGAUCAAAUUUUGUAUAUUUAAAUUGCAACUGAAAAAGUAAAUAUUAAUAUUAUACAAACAUGAUAAAAUAGUAAGUUUGAUGUAAAAUAUCGCUUAUGAUAUACUGAAAUUUAAUAUUAUUGAAUAACUGAUUGAUUAUAUUUAAAAUACAUGAAAUAGCAACAAACUAGAACAAAUUAAAUUAUAAGUAUUUUUAGAAAAAAUAAUUAAAAACCAAUAAAUAAUUUAUACUAUAUCAUACUAAUAAGAAAAUAUUUAAAUUUAUGAUUGUGGUUUGGUUUUAAUUUGAAAAUAAAUUCAAAAUUCAAUUAAUCAAUGUGGUUUUUAUGAAAGAAUACAAAAAAAAACUUAAAAAAUAUUUGAUUUUGUACGAGUUUUCAACUUGUUUGGAUCAAUUUGCAUUUUUUUGGAUUGAUUUGGAUGUAGAUACUUUUAACCAUAGAUAUUUAUUGAAAGUAGAAAUUCACUAUUUGUUGUCUUAAUAAUUGAGACAAAUACACAAUGACAUGGAUCUUAUUUUUUUUUUAUCAAACAAAUAUUAAUUGAGUCACUUUAUCGACAAUAAGAAUGAACUACAUUUUAUUAUAUUUGUUGCUGUUGGAAUUUUCUGCUUUAUUUAAUUUUUAUUAUAGAUAAUUUAGGAGGAUAUAUUAGUCUUAAACGAGUUAUUAUUUUGAUUUCUUAGACGUUGAAGUAAAAAGAAAAGAGCUUCCAAUAUGGAGCUAUGGUUGUGUUAAUACAUAGAUAAUGAUUUUUUGGGAACACAGAACGUGGUUGAAAUUCAUAGAACAUGGUUGAAAUUCAUAAAAAAUGUUUGGAUUUAAUGGUAGGUUUCGAACCAAGAAUCUAAAUUCAAUACAAAAUCAAUGGGCGUCGUGUUUUUUUUGUAAAUAAAUAACAAUUGCCGUUAUAAUUACUUAGAGACAACCAUAUGCAAAUACAAAUAACUAAGAAGGUAUAUUAAUAAUAUACAUUUUUUAUAUUUAACAUUUUUAACUUAUAAAAUUGAUACUCCAUUUAAUCAAUUUUAGUUGAAAAAAGAAACGUUAAAAACUAUACAUAAUACACGAUGAAAAAUUUUAAUUUUAGUUUAACUUGUAAUUGUCGAUAUUAUUAAAUAAAAUAUUUUAUUUUAUGUUUAAAUAAUUUUUUUUUGCAAACUAAUAGUAUUUAUCAUAUUUUCUAUAAGUGAUGUUAUAUCUUCUUUAUUCUCAUAUAAUAAACACUUUUUUACAUAAAUAUCACAAAAAAAAUAACGAAAUCUCAAUUCAAUUAAAAAUUGUAAAACAAUAUUGUAUUUCUAGGUUGGGCUAUGUUAACAUUAUCUUUUAUAAUAAACACAUUUUAACAAUAAAAUUUAAUUUAAAACCCUAUGUCGAAAAUAGAGAUUUUUUUUUUACAAGAGUGUUAAAACCCUAAAAAAANNNNNNNNNNNNNNNNNNNNNNNNNNNAACCCCAUGGUGAAAAAAAAAAUUUUUUUUUUUAAAAAGGUUUAAAACCCCAAAAAAAAAAAAAAAAAAAAUACAGCCGCAGCUGCUACGGCCUGAAAACUCAAACAAGUUGGAGUGAAAACCUAAAGCUCACCGGAUAACAUAGCCGGCAUCAUCUCCGGCCGCUAGAAACAGUAAGAAAUUCGUCCAUGUUUUUCUCUAUUAUAUUUGUACAUAUUUUCGUAUGCGAUUCUCUGAUGCGCUUAAUUUGUUAUUCAUUAUUUAACAUUCGAUUCUCUCAUUAUUGAUCACGCUGCCUUUUUUUUUUCUUUUGUUCUAUUUAUUCAUUCUCUUAAUUUAGGUAUGAACUGAUUGUAUGUAUUCUUGUUGCAAAUGAUGAACAGGUUCAUCCACAUGACACCAUUGUUAGGGCGUGUUAAUAAGUUUGUAUUUUCCUCCCAAAUUGAAGGGUUUCUUUCCCUUAUUAAUUCCAAACAAUAUCUUCAACCAUGGUUUAUUACUGUGCGCAAUUUUAGCUUCAAUGAUGAUCGCGGUGGCGCGCGAGAAUACCCAAGUUUUAAUGACAAUGGUAGUAAUAGGAGUGACAAAGCAUUCGAUAUUCAACAAUCUUCGUCGGAAUCAGGUCCAAGUAGGUCUUUUAGAGGUCAGAAGCAAAUUAAUCAAACUCCUUUGAAUUCCCAAGAAUAUAGUAGAGGUGGUCGUUCUGUUCGUCCGAGAUUUGAUGACAGACGUGGCAGUAAAUCGUCGCAGAUUGAUCUUGGAUUUCAGGGCAGAAAUGUUGCUGAAGUUAGUAGAGAUGCGGGUCAAUUAGGAGAUAGUUUCCUUGAUAAAUUUAAGCUUGGUUUUGAUGAUAAAGUAGGGAAUCACUCGGAGGUUGAAUCAAACGGCCAAACUGAAGGAUCAAGGGCGUCCGAUACUGAUCAACCAGCGCAAGAGCCCAUGCCUCAAGAUGCCGAUGAAAUCUUCAAGAAGAUGAAGGAAACAGGUCUUAUCCCUAAUGCAGUGGCUAUGCUUGAUGGUCUAUGUAAAGAUGGUAAUGUCCAAGAAGCUUUGAAGCUUUUUGGUUUGAUGCGUGAAAAGGGAACGAUUCCAGAGAUUGUCAUUUACACAGCUGUAGUGGAGGGCUAUACAAAGGCUCACAAGGCUGAUGAUGCCAUAAGAAUUUUCAGAAAAAUGCAGAGUAAUGGCAUUUCACCAAAUGCUUACAGUUUUACUGUACUUAUACAAGGACUCUACAAAUGUAGCAGAUUACAGGAUGCUCUUGAAUUUUGCGUGGAGAUGUUAGAAGCAGGUUAUUCUCUAAAUGUGACAACUUUUGUAGGUGUGGUUGAUGGUUUCUGCAAGGAAGAUGGAGUUGAAGAAGCUAAAGGUGUUAUCAAGACAUUAACAGAGAAGGGUUUUGCUUAUGAUGAGAAAGCUGUUCGGGAGUUUUUGGACAAGAAAGCACCAUUUUCACCCUCCAUUUGGGAGGCCGUCUUCGGGAAGAAAGUUUCGCAGAGACCAUUUUAAAUAUAUUUUCAGACUAUGUAAGCUUUCUUCUUGAUUCUUGUACUCUUAUGCAAAACUAUUUUCUGUCCUUGUGUAAUUUUGAUUACUAUAGGUGCACCGGUUAAAUUCUUAAAAAGGUUGACUAGUUUGUUGUUAACUUGUUCAUACAAUCCCCAAAUUCGUUUUCAAAUGUACUACUCCCAAUUCAUAGAAUGUCUUCUAAUAGAUAUUAAAAUUAUUAAUCUCAGUUAGCUUAAGUGAUUUGUGUCUGUAGUUGCGCAUUCGGAUACCUUGGUUUACCAAAAAAGAAUAGAAUUACUCAUAACAUUUGGGUUGGUUGGAGUUCAAUGAGUUUCAUAUUUUACAUUGAGUUAGUAAAAGUGCAGACCAAAAUGAACUUAUUACCAAAGCUAACCUAAUCUUUUUCACAUUGGGUUGGUUUCGGUUGGUCGGGUCUACUCAUGACGGUGGAUACCCCUAGUAAACAGUUUGCUAAGUCGGUUGGUUUUAUGAUAAAGUUAGUUAUGACAGCUGUCUUAGCAGUUAGAUGUUGGUGUAUAAAUCCAAUUGAGCACACUAUUUAGAGUAUAAUGCAAAUCACCAAUUUGGUCUCCAAAUUGUACUAUAUUUUUCUCUCAUCUCUUCUAUAAUUUUCUCUCUUUCAAAUUCACAAAUGCACUUGCCAGAAUUUAUGCUUCUGAGGUUAUGGACUCAAACAAUUUUAAAGCACAAAUAUAUUUGAUACUCUCUUACUCAACAAAGAAACGCUCCCUUACAUUUCCAAGAUGAGUCUUUUGAUGGAACUAGUUACAAGGAAUGGUCUCAAAUGCUACUUAUUUUUUAAAGGAACUAAUUACAUUCUGUUCAUAGGCCUUCUUGUUAUUCCUAAAGCUUACAAGCCAAAACUGAAGCAACUAAGGCAUUAGAGAAUUAUAAGAAAUACAAUAGAAUAGAUAGAUUUUUUUGUCCCCGUCUUUUUAUCAAUAUACUUUUUGUAGCUAAGAAAUAUGGUUGGCUUCUAAGGUGAGGGCUCAACUAAUUCCCUCACCAGUUUAGCAUCUAUUUUGACCAUAAGAUAUGAUAUGUGGUAUAAAAUAAUAUGAAUGGUUGAGAUUUUGAAGUUUUUUUUUUACUUACCCCUUACUUCUUGUUGAGCUAAAACUUGUGUUUGGCUCCUAUACCGUUUUCUCUAUGCUUUUCUCGAAUUUUAAAGAAUAAUGUAUUGUUUUUGAAAUUGUCAUAUGGGUGCUUGUCUCUAGAGAUGAAUGUGCAAUAGUAACCCUAAAAUGAGACAGAUCUGUGGCAAAAAAUUUGUAGCAACAAUGUGGAUAAGGUGGAUGAAAGAGGUAGUGUGCAAGUCUCCAAGCCUUGAAACGGUGAAAACAUUUGUUGUCAUUUUAAUGGUUUGGAGAUUAUUGAUCUUUGUUUUGGUAAUGACAAUGAUUUUUUUUUAACCUUUUGUUUGUUACUCUCUGUGCUGGUUUUCCUAUUUUUCAUGCUUUUGUUUACAAAUAAUGAUACAGAACAACAUUUUUCACCAGUUUCUGGCUAGAGAUCAUUGGAACCGUUUGGGUAUUUGACUCAAGGGGCCAGCGAAUAGUGGAAAGGCUGGUAUUGGUCGGUGAAGCAAGCUCAUGUCCAUAAACUCGUUUCAAUCAGAUGAUAAAAGUUACAGGGUUAACAAAUAUGUGUAAUUUUUUGUCCACUGCUCUGUCUUGAUUCUUUUUGUGGCAAAUAAGAAUGAUCCAUUUGGUAAUUCUAUAAUAGCGAGGUGGGUUAUCACUUUAGGUUCAAAUAUAUCGUUACAUAUCUGAUAUUGGAAGCUAUAAUACAUUCUGCAUUUGACUCUUGUUAAAUGUAGGUAGCAAAUAUCAGAGGGCAGUGGUUCUUAGCCUUAUAUGCAUGUCAUGCUAGUACUUUUUUUCCUGAUUCAUGGUUACUCAACUCCAUUGGAGCUUUAUAAUAUUUUAGAAGAAACAACUUGAAUCAGUUAUUUGUUUUAGCAUGUAAUCGGAAUUAAAGUUUUGAAAACUCCAUUAGUAUGCCAGAGGAGUCAUGGUCAAGGUACAUAGACGUGUUAGAUUUCAAAAAUACUUGAUCAACUUUGAAACUCCAUUUUAUAUUCUUCAAGCUGUUGAUACUGUUUAUGGUUUUGAUUAUUUUGUUGCUUUUUCGCUGGUGUGAGAAUUUUAGUUGCAUGUUACAAUUAAGUCUAUUGUCAAAAUCUUAUAAUGUUCUCUCUGAUGCAUUCUCAUUGUCUUUUCAUGUGUUUAUUGUAUAUAUUGCGUCUGAAAAUUGCAAAAAUAUUAAUAAUUAUAGACACACCUGAAAACCAACCGAUCAACCAAAAUCUCAAGCAACUUUGAUUGAAGAUGAAAAAAUAAUUGUUGUUGGUUGUAGUCAUGGAAAGCCUACUUAGUGUGUUAGGACUUUUGUUGGAGGAUGUUGCAACAAGGGAUAAACAAAGAAGAUAAAUUAUCAUUACACUUCAUUCUAAAGCGUGUAUGUGUAUGGACACGCAAACCUAUUUGUCCAAUCAAUCUAUGAUUAUUAGAUGUAAAUAAGACAAAUAAUAAAUUUCCUUUUGAGAUAUUUUAGAAUCAAAGGAAUUGCAGAUGACGUUGUUACUCUCUUUUUCCAACAGUUAAAUUUAAGAAACAAAUUUUGUGCUUUAGCUCAACUUGGAAAAUUUUGAUCAAUAUAACAACUCUUUUUCCAACAGUUAAUUUUAAGAAAUAAAUUUCGUGCUUAGGUCAACUUGGAUAAUUUUGAUCAAUAUAGUUUUCAAAGUACGACUUUUGUCUUAGGCUUGCAUCUUCUAAUAUGAAAGAUUAAAUAAUUUGUUUAUUGAUAACUUGAAGGAAACCUAAAAGGGGAAAAGUAAGAAGCCAUGCAAAUUGUUUUGGCAUCUAACAAAACUGAAUUAGAAAAAUACUAAUGUGUUUACAAAUCCAAAAAAAAAAAUUUAGACACAAAUACCCAAAAAAAUAUAUUUAAACACAAAUACCAAAUAAAAAUUUAUUAUUUGAAAAACAUAUUAUUUAAUUAUUAUUUUUCUACCUCUAUUUUUGUGUUUAAAUAGUGUGUUCGAAUCUUUUGACCACACAAGAAUUUCUAAAGUGAAUUAAUUGCCAUUCCAAUGCAAAUUGAAGGAAGUCAUGCAAUGAAGUCACACACAAGUUGCCAUAUUUACUUUUCAUUUUCAAUAAAUGAUGGCCAAAUUUGUGCUCCCAGACCAAAGAAGAAAAUGACAAAUGAGUAGACAUUUUUAGCAAGUUGUUGCUUUAAAAUCUUAAAUGUCUAUUAUUAAUUGAGAGGAUGGGACAGAAGAAAUAACAAUUUUAUUAAUAUGAAGUUAAAUUUUUAAAGCUGAUUUUUUUUCAUUAUUACUCUUUUCGGUCAUAAAUAUGAGGGGAAAAAAAUGAAUUAACAAAAGUUGAUUUACUUAUUUAUUUUUUAAGUAAAAAAAAAAACAAAGUUGCUAAUAUUAGUAAAUUAUUAAAGUAUAUCACUCUCAUCGUGCCGUUAAUUGUUGUGAUGAAGGGUUAGCUAAUAUGAGAUGCGACAGGGUGAUCUUUGGACCAUUUAUGAGAACUUUUGCUCAACUUUGCAAGUUGUUUCUUGCUGAUGCUAAUGGAAUUUCUAUUAGGGUUGUCAUAUAGGUGGACCCAACUUUCUUUGUUUGAUGGCUAUGAUAUAUUAAUUUUAAUAUAUUUUAAUAACAUAAAAAAUAGUUAUAGAUUAACAUAAUAUAUUUUUUGAUAGGAGAUUUUCAAUUUUAGUUGACAAUUAUUUGAAAACACUAUGUCAAAAAAUUAUUUGAUAACAAAUUAUCAGAACACAAAUAGAAUAGUUAACGCUUUGGCGUGAACCGUCGCAAGUUUAGUUAGUUCAUAUAUUUCUAGUGAUAUUCUUAAAUGUAUUUAUGAUAUUAUUCUCAAGGAAAUGAUCUAGAUUUAUUGAAGGGAAAGAUGGUCCUGAUUCUGAAAUAGGUACCUUCAAAGUGUUUAGACGAAGACUUGCACUCGAAGGAACUGAACUAAUGCUCAAUUUAAAAUCAUCAUGAUUGUAGCUAUAAGAUGGUUACGAGAUUUGAAAGGAGAUAUGAUGGUUAAAAAUCGAAAGAAGGAUAAGAAGUUUCAAAAAGGAAAAACUUAACAAAUGAAAGCUUCGUGAAAAGAGCGCAAUAAGACAAACGUAAUUAGAAAAUAACACAAAUGAUUGAAGUAAAUUGGAUGUAUCUAUUUAUAAGAGAAGACCUAUUAAUAUAGACACUAGUAAGACAGAAAAAUCAUCAAAUAAUUAUUUGAAUUUACUGUUGAGUAAAUUGCUUGUUGCCUAAGUUAUUGUUGGAUUAGUUGUUAGCCAUGAGAGAAGUAACAUAAUCACUAUUUUUUGUCUUUACUGCAUAAUAAUUACACGACAUCGUCGUAAUUAACUGAUUUGUGUGAUAUUAUCUCAGGUGCAUGAAUAAAUUAAUGUGACACAUGAUAUUUGUUUAGGCUUAAAAGCAUUGUAAGUUGUUAGCCGAAAAUAGUAAACAAAUAAAUUAAGGGUAAGAUAAAGUGUAAGCAAUUGAGGUAACUGUAGAUGAAAAAGAGCUAAUCGAUGACAACAUUUUUGAAUCCUUCUCAUUCACACCAAGUCAAAUACGAUUUAGAAUGGCGUUGGCUAAUAAUUUGACAUUCUAAACCUUAUCUCUUAACCAAUUUGAGCUAAUUAGAAUGAGAAACAAAAAAAUAAGCAGAAUAAAAAGACUAUUUUUCUGACAAUGAAGAGAGAGACAAAAAUGCACGUGGAUAAUAGAAGAGGACACAAAAUGUAAGAAUGCUAGACGAGAACAAAGACAAAUAUUACGAUCUCAAACACAACCAUGCAUUUGUAGCUAAAUAUAAUAGUUAGGACACAUUCCCUAGUUGAUCAUGAUCAUACUUGAUAGGAUUUAGGCUUUAACAUCAGUCUACAAAUACUCAUUGUAGUUAUUAUUUUGAACACAUAUCAAUCAAAAUCUAAUUUUUACUCACAAUUUAUCUUUACUUUAUUCUCAUUUAUAUUUUACUUAAGUUUGUAGUUCUCAAAUUUCACGCCGCAUGACUUAAACACAUUUUAGAGCAGUUAAGAUAUUCACAAUCGAUGACACAUUCCUUCUUUGACCUAAUCAUUUGAAGAAAAGAGAAUAAUUGUUGAAAGCUUUUAGGUGUCCAAACUACUUUAUGUCAUUAUUCUUGACUCAUUGUGAUAAUACCAUGACUCAUGUCAUAAUCCAACAAUAAAAAACACACUAUUAUACAACUAUAUAAGCAACCUUUUAUUGGCUAAUUGAACAAGUAUUAGAGACUAUCUAUGACAUAUAUUAUGAUUUUAAAUUAUGAGUAACUCAUCUUUACAAUACAAAACUAACUUAUAAAGUUUGAUGUAUCUAUCUUUAUAAGCUCUUUUAAAGUCCUACCUAUUUUCAAUUUAAGACUUAAUUAGAUUUUUCAAACAAUAUAUCCAUCAAAGAAGGAAAAUGAACAACCUAUGAGAUCAUCACUUUUUAUAGGCGAUGCAAUUUAAUUUCAAGAACACGAGGAUAUCUGAUGUCGUUGUGCAAACUAAUUUAGCUCAAUUGUUGAGCUAAGGGACACAGAAGAAGUUAUGAUGAGGAUACAUGAAGUAAAGCCAAGGAAGGAAACAUAGAUGAUAUUAAGGUCUUGGAACUCCAAUGACAUUCAAGGUGAAUAACAUGCGCUCAUAUUUCAUAUUUUACAUAGUCUUGUUCAUUCUUGCUCUUAGUCGCCUCUCUCAAAUCUUAACUAUAUAUUCUCUUAUUCUUCCAUUGGUAGGCAUGGCAACGAGACUAGUUGGUGGCAAAUUUUGCCUCCCUCACCCCACACCCGCCUCCGUUUUUUAGCAAAUGUGAAAUUUAGAAACUCAUCUCUACUCGCAACGGGGUUCGGCUUUCCCCACCCACACCUUUUCACACACACAGAUAUAUAUAUAUCAUAGUUAAUAUAAUAAAAUAAUUAUUAUUAGACAAUAAUAUGAUUACAAAAUAUUUUCUAUAGAAAUUAGUUUAUAAUUUUUAAUAUUUUUAAAAAAUAUAGUAUAUUGAAUAUGUACAUGUAUAUAAAAUUUAAAAAUUACAAUAAUAUUACUAAUAGGGCGGGUGAGGGGUGGAUAUUAACAACCUCAAACCCGUCCUCGUGCCUCGAAUUUUAAUUUCGAGAAAAAUCCGCACCCGCAUCCGUACUCAAUCAAAGUGGGUUUUUGUUGUCCAAAUCAAGUCGGAUUCAGGUGGGUACCCGUGAGUGAGGAUUAUGUUGUCAUCCCUAUCCAUUGAGUGGGUGGUUUAAACCAUUGUUUGGUCUAAAAUCACAUCUCGAAAUCAUUUUUCUUUUAUUUUAUUUAAAUAAAUAGCUUCCACACAAAUUUAAUUUUUAUUUUGUAUUUUUUGUUAUAAUUUUGUCGUAUGAGUAUGACAUUUUUAUCUUCUCGUCUUGUGCUGCACUUUUCCCAUUUUUUUGUGGUGUUCGUUUUGAUUCAGAUUGACAAAGUAGCUUCGAACGAUAACAAAUUUUAAUCAAUAACUUUAUCGUCGUCAACGUUACAUAUCUGAAAGUAUAAGUAUUUCAGACUCUUAAAUUUUUUCAUAUUUGUAGACAUGCUCCUGUGUUGUCCUCUGUUGUCGGUUUAUGCUGUUGACUUUGAUGUUGUGAGUAUGUUUGCAGAUUUAUCCUUUAUGUUUUUAGCAGAUUUAAAUUUGUAUUACAUCGAUGUAUUCUAGAAUUUAAAUUAAUAAAUAUUGUUUCUUUUAAUCACAUUUUUUUACCUCAUUUUUGAUUCAAAUCUGUAAGUUUACGACCUAAAAAAAAAUUCUAAAAUUAUUCAUAACAAAGAGAUUCAUAAAUUAUAAGAAGGAAUUACCAAGUCCGAGAAAAACUAACUAGUUACUAAUUUAUUAAUAUAUUUGUCUAUAAAAAAAAACUAAUUUGAUGUUUGUUUUUUUGAUGGAAAACAAGUUUUGAUGCUACUCUUCAAUUUUGUAAUCUUCAAAUUCGACAGAAAAGAAAAAAAGUUAACAACAUAAGAGUACAAUACAAAUUAAAAGACAAAUAUUUCUUUUUUGUUUUGACAGAAAAAAGAUAAAUAUUUUAGUUUCGUUUGGAGGGUAGGAUAAGAAAAAUAUAUAAUAUGGGAACAUAUAUAUUGUGGUCAAGAUUUAAUAUUUUUGUCUUUUCAUUAUGAAACUCCUCAUUUUGAUAUGUUUUCUAUAUGUCGUAGUUUAAUUAUUAGUUUUUAUUAAAUGAAUGGUAGAUAGAGUUUGGUAAAUAAUUUGACAAUAGAGGAAGGAACCGGUCAUCAAUGCAUAUACUAAUUAAAUUAAAUUACCUUUACAAAACGUAAAAAGGCCCUUUUUAAUGAGUUUUUAAAAGCAUCGUGGGUGUUAGAGGCUUAAUGUUGAAAUGAAAAUUAAAGCAAAUAUAUUAUAAAAUUUAUUUGAAAUGAUAGGUGUCGAAACGUAAUAUGUGUAUAUACGAGUGAAGCAGCAUUUGGCCACCUCAACACAAUUUAAUAAAUUGAUGAAUACUACCUGUUGAAAUAGACUUUUUAAUUUUUUUACAAAUUAAGGUAUUCAUUUCUCUAUAAAUAAAUGAAAAUCACUUGAAUUUUUUUUCAAUAAAAACAAAAUUGGAUUAAAAAAUGUAUUUGGGAAAAGAAACAAGUGGAAAUGGUCUCAACAAGUACGCUUGUGCUUGUGUGAUGGCAGCUACUAUUAUCUCUGCCAUAUUUGGUUAUAGUGAGUUUACUUUCUAUUUGUAUACUGCCUCAUAUAACUAUGUUGUAUUUGUAAUCUUAAUCCAUAAUUUUCUUACAUGUAUGUGGAAUUUUGAAUUUCAACCAUAAUUAUAGAAAAAUUAAUUUGAAGUAUUAUUUUUUAUCACUAACUUCUACGUGUCACUUAUAUUAGUGAUAAUAAUGAAAUAAUAAGAUAGAAUUAAUACAUCUAUGUAUGUAAAAAGAGUUUACAGUGUAAUAUAUAAUUAUUAUAAACUUUAUAAAUAUUAAUGACAAAAUUUUAAUACAUGACACAAGUAAUAUAUAAUUAUUAUAAACUCUAUAAAUAUUAAUGACAAAACUUGAAUACAUAAACAAACGUAGAAACGUAGAUACUUCGUUGUUUAAUUGUUUGAUCAGAGUUUCAUUUUGUGACAAAUACAUAUAAGAAAGAAUAUAUGUUCGAAGAGAAUAGUCUUUUAAGUGAAUCUUAAUUGUCUCGGCGAAUUAAUUUUUACAAUUAUAUGUGAGGUAUACAUAGUUUAACAAAAAUAAAUUAAUAAUAUAUAUAUUGUAUAUACAUGCAUUAACAUUCUUGCUUGUCCAUUUUUCUUGACACAAAUAACAUAAAUAUGGUUUAAUCACACUUUUGGUUAUGUAGUUUGAGCUUUGAUUUUGGUCUCUUUAAUUUUUUUAACAAUUUUAAUCUCUUUAUUUUAAAAAUUAAUGACAUAUAAUUCCUCCGUCGAUUGUCUUUCACAUAAAUGCUUUAAAAUUUUAUCUCUAUCAAAAUAUAUAUUUGGGACUUUGGAUAUAAAAUAAAAUCAAAUGUUCAAAAUAAAUUUUUUUUAAUAGGAUUUGAAGAAUUUUGUAGAAUGUGUGAUUAGAAUUUCAAGAGAAGAAAAUUUGGGAUUUUUUAUUCUAGUAAUAUUUGAUCUUUUAGUUGAUUAAUUUGAAAUAAAUAAACUUUAGAAUACUUUUAUUAAUUCAAAAUUUGAUUUUUGAAUAGAAAUUUGAAAAGGGAUGGAGGAACAUAAUUUGAAAAAAAUAGAAAUUUGAGGGACUAAAGUCACUUAAAAAAUUAAAAGGACCAAAAUCCAUAUAAUUUAAAUUAGUAGGACGAAAUUGUAAUUAAGUAUGAUUAAUUGUAGAUAAAAUAGUUUAACUGAAAAUUAAGAAUAAAAGAAGAAAAAAAACGUUUUUCUUGUUCUCUAAUUUUUCUUUAACCUUCCUUUUCUCUUUGAAGAGAGAUAUAUGCGUGCACAAAUAUUUAAAAAAAGUAGUUUUUUGAUUGAAUGAGGAAAACAAAAUUGUAAAUAAAGUCUAAAACUAGAAGGAAAAAACAAAAAUCAAAAUUUCACAUUCCUUUAUUCAUGGUAUAAAAUAUAGUACAGAUGUAUAGAAACUUCAAUCAAAAGAAUAUAUAAACGUAAAGUUAUAAAUAAAAUAGUUUGAUGAAGAAUAAAAUUGACAUAAAAAUGAACUACACCAAAGGUUAACCUCCCUUUAUAUAUUCGUAUAAAAAUGAAGUAGGGGUUAUUGUAUAAAAAAUAAUUAAUAUUUUUUAUAGAAAAUAAUAAAUAUAUCUAGUAAUAAUUUAUAUUCAACGUUUUUUCUUAAUAAUAUUUAUUAGGGUAUAUCAUAGUUAAGUCACAGUUUAACUGAUAAAAUAUUAAUAUUGUUAUACAUAAUUUGAAUGUCAUAACUGUUUCUGUGAUAUUUUUGCACUUUAAUUUUUACUUAAAAAAAAAUAGUAAACUUGUGAAUUUAGCGUAAAUUAGGUAGGCAAAAUAAACUAAUAAUAAUAUAAAAAAAUUUCAGUUACUGGAGUGAUGGCAGGAGCACUGUUAUUCAUAAAAGAAGAACUUGAAAUAAGUGACAUGCAAGUUCAACUUGUAGCAGGAAUCUUAAAUGUGUGUGCAUUACCAGCAUGCAUGGUUGCUGGAAGAACAUCUGAUUACAUAGGACGACGCUACACAAUAAUUCUAUCCGCAGUAAUAUUCUUUAUAGGCUCAAUUUUAAUGGGCUAUGGUCCAUCUUUUCCAAUUUUGAUGGUUGGAAGAUGCACUGCAGGAUUUGGUGUUGGUUUUGCACUUAUCAUAGCACCUAUUUAUAGUGCUGAAAUUUCAUCACCUUCUUAUAG